UUACUCGGUAAGGUAGUCACAGUCUCCAGAGAGUUGUCCCCUCCUGAACUGUAGGGAGUGAACACAUCAGGGAGAAAGAGGGAAUCAAUACUUAGGCUUUUGUGAAAGAGCACCCCAUCUUUCUUAGUGCCCAAACCAUCGGCCCCUAUAAGAUGUGCCAGACCCAUUGGUCUCUUUGUGUUGGAGAAACUCUUGAGAAAGUCUGCAUUUCCCAAAGUGUUGGUUCCCCCACAACAAACAGGAUUUGAAGGCAAAUAAGAGUUGUUUCUUUUUUUCCACCAAAUCAGGAAGGAAAGCACUUAGCUGAGCAUGUACUAUGUGCCUGCACGCCCUAGAUUCUCUACGUUAGAUACCUAACACUUCCCAAAAAACAAGCUUCUGAUACAGAUGCAACUAUUCCCAUUUUACAGAAAAGGAGGUUGAGGUGCAUAGAGGUUAAUGAACUUUUGAAAGGUAACUAAAAACCAGCUUGAGCUGCAAGCUUUUCGAAAAUGGAUUAACUCUUCUCUGCCCAGUGGGGAGGCCAAUUCCACUGGGAGUUUCACCAGCGGGUCUCUUCCAAUGCCUUCCAAUGCCUAAUCUGAUUUUAUCUACUUGGAUGUAGUUUCAUGCUGUUGAAUCUAACUUCAAGACCCAUUCAAGAUUACAUUUCCUUUCAUGCAUUUAAAUUGAAUACAUGUGGGAGGCCCGGAGAGAAGGACUUCUAUUUGAACAAAGUCCAAUGUUCAAAUGUACUGUAUUUACUGUUUUGUUUUUUUCUCCCUGCACUUCCUUCCUCAAUGCCAGCAUAUUAUUCCAGGCCAAUGGAUUUUGGGAACACUGUGUUUGCAUCCAGCCCACCAGCACGGACUUCCAAAGGACAGGCCAUGAAUCAAAGUCAUGGCUCUUCUUCAUUCAAGGAAUUGAUUGGGAUGAAGACAACUCUUUCAGAUGAGGGCAGUUGAGUCUGGGGCUCGGUAGCCCCAGGUGAUGGAGAGAAAGAAGCCCGGUAAGCUCUGCCAUCACCUGACUCAGGUGCAUCUCUCUCCCAUCUCCCAUCUGAUGUCGAACCUAACUUGGCCUUUGGUUGGACCUUUGUUCAAGCUUCUGAUUCUACUCCAACUGUGCCUGAAGCUAACUGCUUCAGCUACUACCUGAUCUUCCUUUCUUGCAACUAAAAGUGUUUACUCAGAAUACUUUGUACUUGAAAGGGGAUUAGAAAUCCAUAUACCUCCUCCAGUCACUGUGUUCUCACUCUGCCUCCUUUUCUUCUUCACUAAACAUAUAAACACGAACAUGGAGAUAAACCUACACGCACACAUCAAGUACUCCCUACUGUCAUUUGUCUAAAAGUAUCUUUGUUCUAAAACAAGUCCCGCAGCUGAUCAAGACUAGCAGGCUCUAGAAAUCUCUGAGUGAACACUUCUAGGAGAAAGAGAAUUACACAAAUCAAGAUGUACAAACAAAAAUAUCUAAGCCCUCAUUUCAUUGAGAACCAUGUGACACAUGAAAGAAAAGAGACCCAUACGAAACAGCUAGUUAGUGUGAGAGCCUUCCGAUUAAUGCAAUUUAUAUUAAACCAUGAGUUCAAAGGCUGGGUUUUGUUCAUCUGUUGUCACCCACAGUGCACAGAGAAUUACAGAGUAGACACUUAAUGACAUUUGUGGAAGGAGUUUCAGUGAGAUGGAACACCAAAUUAAUUUUUCAAAAAAGCUUUUUUUUUGUAAGCAAAUUUCACUUUGGUCCUUUGGUACCAAAGAAGCAAACUUAUUUUAACC